UACAGAGGUCCCGAGCGUUGUUCGGAUUCACUGGGCGUAAAGGGUGUGUAGGCGGCUUGGUAAGUCAGGUGUGAAAUCCCGCAGCUCAACUGCGGAACCGCAUUCGAUACUGCCGAACUAGAGGAUCGGAGGGGGAAGCGGAAUUCUUGGUGUAGCGGUGAAAUGCGUAGAUAUCAAGAGGAACACCGGUGGCGAAGGCGGCUUCCUGGAAGAUACCUGACUCUGAAACACGAAAGCUAGGGGAGCGAAUGGG
rnacentral:rRNA from 1 species